ensembl:lncRNA
AGGGGCAUGGAGGAGCUACCAGGGAAGAAGUAUUUCUUAGCCUUACACUUAAACUGAACACAACAUCAGGAACUUCUGGAACCAGGCAAAGAUAACGAUUGGAACCAAAGAGAUUCAAACCAACAUAAAGAUGAACGCACGUUAGAUCAGAAUCUGGGGAAAUGAGUUGAGUGACUUCCAUACCUCACGUAAAUGAAAACUCUGGAGCUGGAGAGUACACGGAAGAACAAGAGAUGGGAAUGCAUGCGUACCCUGUGCUCAGCUGCAUCAGCUUCUUUAUUUGAUCAUAAGGAAGCAUUCUGAAGAGUCACUUCCUUUUUGACAGAAACCUUGUGAAGCAGAGGUAAAACAAAGUUAAUGCGUUUGGUGACAAACCUUCUCCACAAGGCAGUUGCUAUCCCUGGAAUUUCUGUGGGUAAACCUGGUAAAACAUAGGCUGCCUGGCUGAGAUUAACAGGAAAUGUGUGAAUCCUGCACUUGAAUAGAUGCUGGAGCAGC